GGCCAGUGAUAAUGAAAGGGAAGGAUGGCAAUGAAGGACUCUGAAGGCGACGAUGUGAGAGAUGUUGAUAAAGAUUGAGUCACAGUUGUAGAGAGGAGCUCGACAGCACUAGGGGCUUGUUGGCAUGCUCGAGAGGGGAAGUCCAAUAGCAAUGGUUUGAGAGUAAAGAGAGGGAGUUGAAGUAAUACAAGAACUAGAAAGAGAAGAGGGACAUGGAACAAUAAGAGCUUCUAAAUCUCAUCAUAAAGAGGGCUAUAAAUGGGUCA
rnacentral:lncRNA from 1 species